GCCCGGGUGGUGGAAUUGGUAGACACAAGGGACUUAAAAUCCCUCGGCCUCUAAAGCCGUGUCGGUUCGAGUCCGACCCCGGGUACCA
rnacentral:tRNA from 1 species